CCGCAGCCCGACUUGAACGGAGCUCUUUUUUUAUUGCGAAUAUGGUCAAGUUCUAUUUAACGACUCACGUUAAUCGCAAUGAAAAAAAGCGGGAGUGGAAGGCGGAUUAAGC
rnacentral:misc_RNA from 1 species